ensembl:lncRNA
AUUUUCUAUUCCACAUUUCUAUUGUAGCGUACUGUAUGUAUGGAGCAUAAUAUAUUUGUGUAUAUUCUUUAUCACCGCGGACACGUGAGGUAACGUUACUCAUUUUAUAACCUUUAUGGUGUUAUAGUCAAUCGUGCUUAUGUAGCCACAUUCUUCUAUUAGCUCUGUAAAACAAUGCUAAAUGCGUCAGAGAAGUAUUAUCUUGUGUUGCAUUUUGAAGCUACCAUGGCCUUAUGACUCUCAAGUGGUGCAGCGGUCAAAGGCACAGCACAUCAGUACUAGAGGUGUCACUACAGACUCCCUGGUUCAAAUCCAGGCUGCGUUUCCAUCAAAAAACCAGAAACAUUAUUUGCCAAUAUCAUAACUGGAGCUGGACAUCUUUGGAGCUGAAUAAUGAGGACAGCUUUUGACUGGUAGUUGGUUCAACAACUUGUUUUACUAGAGGACAAAAAACUGAAUAUGCAAAACCCAUAUUCAUUAUCCAUGCAGUGACUGAACAACAACUGCAUUUCCACCCCCAUCUCUAAGGCA